AUGACCUUUGCUUUCGGCGGUUCUGGCGUCUAUGAGGUGCCGGACAAGAAGGUGCCGACCCUUGCCACACAGGUUAAUGCUUUCACGAGGCUACUUAAUACUGGGGUCAUCUCAAAACAACAGCUUCAGAGCUCCGUCGCUCUCGUCUCCAUCUCCGGCAGUGACUACAUGACUGGUGCCAAUGUCGACAAUGCCUUCUUGAGUAGCUUCGAUGAUAUCGAUAGUUAUAUUGGGAAUGUGACGACCGACAUUGCGAAGAACGUGAGGAAGCUACAGAGGCUAGGUGUGAGAAAGGUACUAGUGAACAACAUGCAUCCCAUUGGCUGCACGCCUUUGCGGACUAGUGCGAACAACUACACGACAUGCGACCUUCUGGCUAACUAUGCAGCAACUGUGCACAACAACAAUAUAGAACACCUGAUGGGGAACAAGAAUAAUGCCCACAUACUGGACCUCUACACUGCCUUCACCGACAUCGUCAAUCACGCCCCUGGUGAAGGAUCGGAGCAGUCAAACAAUUUCAAGCGCAAGCUGACACCUUGCUGCGAGGCUUCUACCGAGCUGGGGUACUGUGGACAGGUUAGCCCGUCAGGGGAGCGCCUCUACGACCUAUGCAAGAAUCCUGACAAGAACUUCUACUGGGACGAGAGUUACCCGACGACCGCUGGGUGGGAAGCUGUUAUAGAGGCGCUAGAAGAACCUUUGAGGGAGUUCCUAGACCGGGACUAUGUUCCAUGA
rnacentral:rRNA from 1 species